GAUGAACGCUGGCGGCGUGCCUAAUACAUGCAAGUCGAGCGAAUGGAUUAAGAGCUUGCUCUUAUGAAGUUAGCGGCGGACGGGUGAGUAACACGUGGGUAACCUGCCCAUAAGACUGGGAUAACUCCGGGAAACCGGGGCUAAUACCGGAUAACAUUUUGAACCGCAUGGUUCGAAAUUGAAAGGCGGCUUCGGCUGUCACUUAUGGAUGGACCCGCGUCGCAUUAGCUAGUUGGUGAGGUAACGGCUCACCAAGGCAACGAUGCGUAGCCGACCUGCGCGGGUGAUCGGCCACACUGGGACUGAGACACGGCCCAGACUCCUACGGGAGGUAGCAGUAGGGAAUCUUCCGCAAGGGACGAAAGUCUGACGGAGCAACGCCGCGUGAGUGAUGAAGGCUUUCGGGUCGUAAAACUCUGUUGUUAGGGAAGAACAAGUGCUAGUUGAAUAAGCUGGCACCUUGACGGUACCUAACCAGAAAGCCACGGCUAACUACGUGCCAGCCGCCGCCGUAA
rnacentral:rRNA from 1 species